AAGAGUCUGUGCAGCCUGCUUUAGGCCUGGCAGUGGCAGAACAGUCCCUCCUGUUGGGGUGUCUGAAAAAGGACAAUUAAGGUUGAAGUGCCACAUUCAUGAAAUCAAUGAUUUGGACAACUUUGGCCAAGUGUGGACAACUAUCACUAUUUUGUCAUGCUUUGCGUUUAGCAGAUGAAGAGGUUGUGACACUAAACCAUAACUUACCUGUGAUGAGCCAGGGCCUCAGCAUGCCUCCACUGAGACAGGAGACCUUGAGGAACACCAAAAAUGGUCAUAAUUUCUUGGUAGCUAUGAUAGAGCCAUAGCCAGAUGGUCUCUAAGCCCAUGGUAAACAUGCCCAAGGAAAAUAGAGGUACCCACCUUCAAGACACUUUUGAAAAUCUAGAUGUCUAAAUCAAAAGGGAAAGGUAUCCAGAAAAAAUUACCAAACAUAGAAAAAUUUGACCAAUGGAACUAAUAUUCUCUGCAGGGCAAAAAAUCACUACCUAAACAUCUAUAUCUAUUUACAUCUCAGGAAAGUUGUAGUCACAAUUCAAUUAAAAGAGCAUGGUUCUCUCCUUCUCUAAAUCCAAGCAUGUUGUUAAGAGAAAAAUUCAGAGUUUCUGACUCCUAUCAGAAGAACCACCUGGUGUGGGACAGAAGAAAACCAAAAAUCUGGGACUAUUGUCAAAACUGUUAUCUCUGCAAUAUUGUGUUUUUCCCGUACUUAUUUUUGACUGUUUGGUACCUUUCUUUGAAUAAAUAUCUGUCUUAAAAUUAAACUUUCAAUUUUUAUAUUAAUAAUGUUUAAUUGUGACACAGUGAACA
rnacentral:lncRNA from 1 species